rnacentral:rRNA from 1 species
AACCUGGUUGAUCCUGCCAGUAGUGUAUGCUUCUCCUAAACNUUAGAGGACACCCGGGAGCUUGAGAGASACGACGCCUCUCUCUGAUCUGCCCCCGGCUCCKCAUACCAGUUGUAAACCAUAGCAAGCCAACCUUGGGAAGACCCGAUCAAAAGGGAUGACCCUUGGUUGAAUAAGGAUACCCAUGGUAAUUCUGAGGCUAAUACAAGUAUAUACCGACUUGGUCAACCGGGAAACUGGAAGGCUGGGGGUCGUGUGAAGCUUAACUGCAACACCGACCUAGGAAACGAUGCACAAUCAGACCACCACACAAACGGUCUCGUUCUGAGGCAAGUACCUUCGGGGAAAGCCAAAGGGCUUGACUGGGUGGCUCUUGCUUUGUGCUUCUGACCUAUCAACUCGUUGGCAGCGUAAGGGACAUGCUAUGGUUACAACGGGUACAGAGGAUAAGGGUUCGAUCCUGGAGAGUGGGCCUGAGAGAUUGCUCACACUUCUAAGGAAGGUAGCAGGCGCGCAACGUUCCCAAUGGGUAACACCUGAGGGCGUUAGGGGACAUAUGAAUGCCUGCCAUUAGGUGGGCAAUUCAAAUGGGACUGAUGCAAACAGCCCAUCNAGUAACAAUUAGAGGACACUCGGGAAGCUUGAGAGUUUUUUCANCAU